rnacentral:rRNA from 1 species
UCCAGACUCCUACGGGAGGCAGCAGUCGAGAAUCAUUCACAAUGGGGGAAACCCUGAUGCAGCGACGCCGCGUGAAGGACGAAGUAUUUCGGUACGUAAACUUCUAUCAGCAGGGAAGAAAAUGACGGUACCUGACCAAGAAGCCCCGGCUAACUACGUGCCGGCAGCCGCGGUAAUACGUAGGGGGCAAGCGUCAUCCGGAUUUACUGGGUGUAAAGGGAGCGUAGACGGCGACGCAAGUCUGAAGUGAAAUGCCAGUACUCAACACUGGAACUGCUUUGGAAACUGUGUAGCUAGAGUGCAGGAGAGGUAAGUGGAAUUCCUAGUGUAGCGGUGAAAUGCGUAGAUAUUAGGAGGAACACCAGUGGCGAAGGCGGCUUACUGGACUGUAACUGACGUUGAGGCUCGAAGGCGUGGGGAGCAAACAGGAUUAGAUACCCCUGUA